UACAGAGUAGAGGGAAUGCGCUAGUGUUAAAAGAUGGGAUGUAGCUUUUAAACGAAUGGCAUUGAGCCGCGGUGUUUCUUCGCUUCCGCUGUA
rnacentral:ncRNA from 2 species